AUGUAAAUUUGAUUCUAAAUAUAGCAAAUAUGUAUAAGUAUAUAUAUAUAAAAGAUAAAUGAGACGAUAUGUGAAUUAAAAAAAUUAUCCUACAAUUUGUUCGUUAUAAAUAAUCGAUCAAGAUAUGUCGAUUAAAAUUUCUACAAUUCUUCUAAUUGGAUUAGCUAUAAUCGUGAUAUUCGAAAUCCAAACUGGACAUGCUAAACUUUGUAAGUCGUCGUUUGAUUGUGAUUUCUUUCAUUACUGUAAUAAAUUAUCAUGGCUAGAAUUGGGAUUUUGCGAAUAUGAUCCAAUUAAUCCCAUUUACUUAAAAAAAGGUACAAAAAUCUAUUAAUUUUCCUGUGAUGUUCAUAGGAACUCAAAUAAUUGUUUAGUGUAAAUUGUAAUUGUGUAUAUAUUUAUUUCAUUAGUUACAUAAUAUAAAUAAUUUUUCAU